CCUACGGGUGGCAGCAGUAGGGAAUCUUCCACAAUGGACGAAAGUCUGAUGCAGCAACGCCGCGUGAGUGACGAAGGCCUUCGGCUCGUAAAGCUCUGUUGGUAGUGAAGAAAGUUAGUGGUAGUAACUGGCCUUUUUUUGACGGUAAUUACUUAGAAAGUCCCGGCUAACUCCGUGCCAGCAGCCGCGGUAAUACGUAGGGGGCAAGCGUUGUACGGAUUUAUUGGGCGUAAAGCGCGCGCAGGCGGUUCAGUAAGUCUGAUGUGAAAGCCUUCGGCUCAACCUGAGAAGUGCAUCAGAAACUGUGGAACUUGAGUGCAGGAGAGGAGAGUGGAACUCCAGGUGUAGCGGUGGAAUGCGUAGAUAUAUGGAAGAACACCAGUGGCGAAGGCGGCUCUCUGGUCUGCAACUGACGCUGAGGCUCGAAAGCAUGGGUAGCGAACAGGAUUAGAUACCCUUGUAGUC
rnacentral:rRNA from 1 species